UAAACGAUAAAGGCCUUAAGCACAGAUGAUAAACCAACAAUUAUCAAUCAAAACAUAUGGAGACCAUAUAAAUAAUUAAGAGUUUCAAUAAAAGAGAGUAUCAAAAGAUUACAUUGUUUCCCCUAACAACAAUAGGGUUUAGUUACCAUAGACAUGGUGAAAAUAGAUGAAAACUGGAAGAAGAAUGGAAAAGCAAACCCUAGAAAAGAUGAAAAGAAGCCUAAGCAUCCAAGAGAUCCUCUCCAGAGAGCAAAAUUAGGUCUGGUUGUUCUCCCCUGUCAAAAGAAUAACUCUGAACUCGAAAUAGGGGUAUUUAAAGGUGAGGAGCGCAACAGAAAACAGGCCCAAGCGAGCCACCGCCUGGCGGUUUAAGUGUGUCGCCCGGCGAUUUGCCAUAAUCCUCCAAACCGCCCGGCGGCAAUCGCCACCGCCCGGCGGUUUCCCUCAAGACCGCCCAGCGUCAAUCGCCAUGCCUACUCCUCGUCCUGGACCGCCCGACGGUUUAAGUGUGUCGCCGAGCGGUGCGUCGACUCUUCAAAUCUUCAUUUUUCUGCUCUUUUCUUGAGUCAACGACCUGUAUCUUUAACUCCAUUUUUCACUUUCUCAAAAAUAGUUACAAAACAAUGCAAAACAAGUAUAAAAUCGCUAAAAACAGUUUUUGACUCUCUACAGACUCAUUUAUUGAGUUUUGCUUGAUUCUAAGCUCAUUCCAAAUAGUAAAGGGCGUAAUUAGGUCCAAUUUGACAUAUGAAAAUAACUGUUUCAACCUUCAUCAACCUCUAACACACACCAAAUAAAUUAAUUUUUAUUUUCUCACUUUAUAUUAUACGCUCUCAAAUCAUACACCAAAUCACUACUUUGUUUUAUUAAUUCUUAAUUUACAAUUCUUAGUAUUAUCUUUUUAUUGUUUUAUUAAUUCUUAAUUUACAAUUCUUAAUAUGGUUACUAUAUAUAUUUGUUAAGUGUAAAUUUAUUAUCUAUGAUAAUUAUUAACUUUAUAAUAAUUAUAUUAAAAAUCACACCAAUAGUAAUUUGUAAUUAAUUGAUAAUGAAACAAAAUUACACUAACAUUGCAAUUCUUAAUAUUUUUUUAAAAAAAACUAUUCAUGACCAUCUUUCUUAAUAAAAAAUUUAAACUAACUUAAAAAACAUUUUAUAUUACUUUUAUAUAUUAAGGAUAAUUUUAUAAUAUUAAUUAUUUUUUUAAUUUAUAAAAAAUUUUUUAUCUAUUAUAUAAGUUAAAUAAUUUACAAACUUUUAUAGAGUUCAUUUUCAAAUUCAAUUACUUUCCUUUCAAAUCUUUUAAAAGAAAUAAUACAAAUUUUAUUUCUAAAUUCACUUUUUCAUUUACUCAUUCUUUUUAAAUUCAUUUUCUCAAAAGAAUACACCCUUAAAUCUGAAUUAGCAAAUAAUUGAGAAUUGCCAAAAUAAACACACACAAAAAAAAUCUCACUAUUCCGUCUACAUGUACCACAUGUGGAAACAAAUGCAAGCUUAAAAUUUGUUAUUAAUCAAGCCAAAUAUCACAAAUUAUUCAUCCAUGCAUAGUGCUAUAGUUAUUGGUGCCACAAAUUUGAUUUCAUUUUCACUUAAACUUCAUGCAAAUCCAAGAUGCUUCUGCACUCAUAAUUUCUCACAGAAUCGGAAGCAUAAGAGAUUACCAAUCCUUAAAAUUUUACCAUCUCUUAUGCAAUAUUUAACUGAAAAACGUUAUGAAAUAUUGCAUCCAUUGAUUUUCUUUUCAUUUCCAAAAUGUAAUGAAUGAUCGUGUUUUUUACAUGAGUAGGCAUAUUUGCCCAAAUAUUAUGUAUAUGGCCAAGUUGGAAAAAUAAAAAAUAAAGUCAUCAAGAAUGACGAAUUAAAUAUAAAAUAGUAACAUUGAGAUUGUCAUGAUUACUUGAGAUGUUUCUACUUCCACGUGAAGAAGUAUGUUGAAAGUUUUAUAGAUAAAAUCAAUUUAUAAAUAUAUAAGUGAAGUAAAAAUGAAAGAUUAUGAAAAAAUUAUUAAAAUAUUAGGAUUAAAAUAUGGCAUUUUAUUUUGAAUAAAAUUUUAUGUAAGAAUUUCUUUCCACAGUACAAUUUAUACGUUAUAUGACAUUUCUAAAAUUUACAGAUCAAUUAAAGAUAAAAUUAUUUUGUGAUUAAAAUCCAUUUUUAAUGGAAAAAGGUUUCGCAAUAAGUUAAUUUAUUUUCAAAACAUAUAGAAGAGUAGAAAGAAAGCAACAUUCAUGGAAAGUGAAGUGAUGUGAAUACCUUGCCAAUAAAUGAUGACAACAUAAGCACUGAAUCAUUGUUGGGCACGUCAUAGGUUGAUGUGAAUAUGAAACUAGAUUUUAUUUUAAGUUUAUAUAUUACACAUACAAGAUUAUAUAAUCUUUAUUCAGAAGCUAUGGUUUGCGUUUAGGCUUCAACCAAAUAAUUUGAAGGAAUGAGUAUCCAUCACUACUCACCAAUAUAUCUUAGCUUUUCCUCAUCAAAUUGUAUUGCAUAGGGGAGAAGGAACCUCUUGUUUAAACAGGCAUGCCUCCUCCUUCUCUUUCACAGCCAUGGAAGAAUGGAACAUGCU
rnacentral:lncRNA from 1 species